GCCCGGAUAGCUCAGUCGGUAGAGUAGCAGGCUUUUAACCUGAGGGCCCAGGGUUCGGGCCCCCGUUUGGGCG